CCUCCUCAUUCUCUCCGGUUUAAUCCUAGCUGGCACCGUUAUUGCACUCACUAUAGCCACUCCACUCUUCGUUAUUUUCAGUCCAGUUCUUGUCCCUGCUCUCAUUGCAACAGCUCUCCUAGCAACGGGUUUCGUCGCCUCCGGCGGUUUCGGUGUUGCAGCCGUCACGGUUCUGUCCUGGAUUUACAGGUCCUUGAUCUUUUUUUCUUUUUUAAUGAUCUCCAAAAAUACCAUGAAAUUUCCUGUACUGGACUAUUUUUAUUUAAAAAAUAGUAAAUUAGUCUCUACAUUUUUAUCAAAGAUUAAAGAGAGUAAAUUUUAUCAAAGAUCAAAACGAAAUAUCUUUUCAUUAAAAAUUUCAUCUAUUUUUAUAAUUAAAAAUUUCAUAAAUUAGUAUGAGAUACACCUUAAUCAUUACAUGUUAAAGUCGUGUCAAUUUUUUUAGCAGUCCGUCGGGUCAGUCAAAUUUUAAUGUAAUUUUUUUUAAAUGAACAAAAAUAAUUAAUUUAUUUUUUUUACGUGAUUAAAUUUUUUAAAAUUUUUUUAUUAGAAAGUAAAAUUCAAUCCAACUGUUAGGGCUUCCAUGGCCCUCUUAGUAGCUUUUUCUUAUUCUUAAAUGACUAUAUAUACAGGUAUGUGACGGGGAGGCACCCACCGGCGGCGGAUCAGUUGGAUAGUGCGGGGAUGAAAUUGGCUAGCAAGGCACGGGAGAUGAAAGAUAGGGCGGCACAGCUCACCGGUGCGGCGGCUUCUUAAAUUAGUUCUCUACUGCAUGCUUUUGUAAUGGAGCUGUGCAAAAGUUCAGGAUCAAGUGGCCAUUAAACCGAUCCUUAAUGAUGAUGUUGUUAUGUUGUUGAUGAUGAAAAGAUGUUUUUUUCUAAAUUUAAAAGCAGCAUUAGAAACUUCGGGGGAUGAUGUGGCUGUCUGUUUAUGUUAAAAACUCCCAUGUAAUUGACUGUAAUAAGCACUACUUGUUUUUGUUGUUAGUUUGUGUGUUUGUUGGUUC
rnacentral:lncRNA from 1 species